UACAGAGGGUGCAAGCGUUAAUCGGAAUUACUGGGCGUAAAGGGUGCGUAGGUGGACUGAUAAGUCGGAUGUGAAAUCCCUGGGCUUAACCUAGGAACUGCAUUCGAUACUGUUAGUCUAGAGUACGGUAGAGGUAAGUGGAAUUUCCGGUGUAGCGGUGAAAUGCGUAGAUAUCGGAAGGAACAUCAGUGGCGAAGGCGACUUACUGGACCGAUACUGACACUGAGGCACGAAAGCGUGGGGAGCAAACAGG
rnacentral:rRNA from 1 species